rnacentral:rRNA from 1 species
AACGAACGCUGGCGGCAUGCCUAACACAUGCAAGUCGAGCGCCCGUAGCAAUACGGGAGCGGCGCACGGGUGAGUAACGCGUGGGAACCUGCCUAGAGGUCUGGGACAACCGCGGGAAACUGCGGCUGAUACCGGAUGAUUCCUGAGGGACAAAGAUUUAUCGCCUUUGGAGGGGCCCGCGUCGGAUUAGGUAGUUGGUAGGGUAACGGCUCGCCAAGCCUAUGAUCCGUAACUGGUCUGAGAGGAUGACCAGUCACACUGGGACUGAGACACGGCCCAGACUCCUACGGGAGGCAGCAGUGGGGAGUAUUGGACAAUGGGGGGCAACCCUGAUCCAGCAAUGCCGCGUGGGUGAUGAAGGCCUUCGGUUGUAAGCCUUUCGGCGGGGACGGAUGAUGACGGUACCCGCAGAAGAAGCCCCGGCUAACUUCGUGCCAGCAGCCGCGGUAAU